GACGAACGCUGGCGGCGUGCUUAACACAUGCAAGUCGAACGGAAAGGCCCUGCUUUUGUGGGGUGCUCGAGUGGCGAACGGGUGAGUAACACGUGAGUAACCUGCCCUUGACUUUGGGAUAACUUCAGGAAACUGGGGCUAAUACCGGCUAGGAGCUCCUGCUGCCUGGUGGGGGUUGGAAAGUUUCGGCGGUUGGGGAUGGACUCGCGGCUUAUCAGCUUGUUGGUGGGGUAGUGGCUUACGAAGGCUUUGACGGGUAGCCGGCCUGAGAGGGUGACCGGCCACAUGGGGACUGAGAGACGGCCCAGACUCCUACGGGAGGCAGCAGUGGGGAAUAUGGCACAAUGGGCGGAAGCCUGAUGCAGCAACGCCGCGUGCGGGAUGACGGCUUGCGGGUUGUAAACCGCUUUCGCCUGUGACGAAGCGGGAGUGACGGUAACGGGUAAAGAAGCACCGGCUAACUACGUG
rnacentral:rRNA from 1 species